UUACGACCACAUCAUUUUGAAAUACCGGCUCCCGUACGAUCAUCGAAGUUAAGCAACGUCGAGCCUGGUCAGUUCCUAGAUGGGCGACCGCUUCAGAGUAGCAGUUGCUAU